AUUGAACGCUGGCGGCAGGCCUAACACAUGCGAGUCGAACGGUAACAGGGAUCAGCUUGCUGAUUCGCUGACGAGUGGCGGACGGGUGAGUAAUGUCUGGGAAACUGCCUGAUGGAGGGGGAUAACUACUGGAAACGGUAGCUAAUACCGCAUAACGUCGCAAGACCAAAGAGGGGGACCUUCGGGCCUCUUGCCAUCGGAUGUGCCCAGAUGGGAUUAGCUAGUAGGUGGGGUAACGGCUCACCUAGGCGACGAUCCCUAGCUGGUCUGAGAGGAUGACCAGCCACACUGGAACUGAGACACGGUCCAGACUCCUACGGGAGGCAGCAGUGGGGAAUAUUGCACAAUGGGCGCAAGCCUGAUGCAGCCAUGCCGCGUGUAUGAAGAAGGCCUUCGGGUUGUAAAGUACUUUCAGCGGGGAGGAAGGGAGUAAAGUUAAUACCUUUGCUCAUUGACGUUACCCGCAGAAGAAGCACCGGCUAACUCCGUG
rnacentral:rRNA from 1 species